rnacentral:rRNA from 1 species
GAUCAAGCUACGAAGAGCGUAUGGAGGAUGCCUUGGCACUAAGCGCCGAAGAAGGACGUGACAAGCUGCGAUAAGCUGCGGGGAACUGCAAAUAAGUGUUGAUCCGCAGAUUUCCGAAUGAGGAAACUCACUGCAUUGAAGAUGCAGUAUCUUUACACAAAUACAUAGUGUACUGAGGGGAACCCGGUGAACUGAAACAUCUCAUUAACCGGAGGAAAAGAAAGUAAAUUAACGAUUCCGAGAGUAGUGGCGAGCGAAAUCGGAAGAGCCCAAACUUUUAGUAGUGAUAUUAAAAGGGUUACGGACCCGUAAAUCAUCAGACGUUGGUAGUUGAAGCAGUUGGAAAGCUGCGCCAGAGAGAGUGAAAGCCUCGUAAGCGGCAUUGACGUUUGAGUGGCGGGUAUCCAGAGUACCACAGGACACGAGGAAUCCGGUGGGAAUAUGCGAGGACCAUCUCGUAAGGCUAAAUACGACUUAGUGACCGAUAGAGUAUAGUACCGUGAGGGAAAGGUGAAAAGAACCCCGGGAGGGGAGUGAAAGAGAACCUGAAACCAUAUGCUUACAAGCAGAGAGAGCACGACUUAACGUGUGAUCUCGUACUUUUUGUAGAACGGACCGGCGAGUUACGAUGUGUUGCGAGGUAAAGGCAUUAAGUGCCGAAGCCGAAGCGAAAGCGAGUCUGAUAAGGGCGAUUGAGUAGCAUGUCGUAGACCCGAAACCGAGUGACCUAACCAUGAGCAGGUUGAAGCAGCGGUAAAACGCUGUGGAGGACCGAACACACGCCUGUUGAAAUAGUCGGUGAUGACUUGUGGUUAGCGGAGAAAUUCUAAUCGAACUCGGAUAUAGCUGGUUCUCCUCGAAAUAGCUUUAGGGCUAGCGUCUAAAUAGAGAGUAUUGAAGGUAGAGCACUGAAUGGGCUAGGGGACUUCACGGUUUACUGAACCUUAUCAAACUUCGAAUGUCAAUUACUUGUUUUUAGGCAGUCAGACGGCGUGAGCUAAGUUUCGUCGUCAAAAGGGAAACAGCCCAGACCUACAGCUAAGGUCCCUAAGUUCAGGUUAAGUGGAAAAGGAUGUAUUGUUGCUUAGACAACCAGGAUGUUGGCUUAGAAGCAGCCACUCAUUCAAAGAGUGCGUAAUAGCUCACUGGUCGAGUGACAACGCGCCGAAAAUUAUCGGGGCUAAAACCUGACACCGAAGCUUAGGAAUUGGUGUAAAUCAAUUGGUAGAGGAGCAAUGUAUGCGCGCGGAAGCCGUAUCGGAAGGGGCGGUGGAGUGCAUACAAGAGAGAAUGCCGGUAUAAGUAGCGAAAGCGGAGUGAGAAUCUCCGCCAUCGAAAGUCUCAGGUUUCCUGGGGAAGGUUCGUCCUCCCAGGGUUAGUCGGGGCCUAAGUUGAGGGCGAAAGCCGUAGAUAAUGGACAGCAGGCAGAUAUUCCUGCACCGCCGCGAGACGUUAUUACUGAUGCAAUGACACAGAAGGAUAGUCAGACCCACCCGGAUGGUAAAGGGGGGCCGAUGCGCGAGGUUGGAGCGUAGUGAAGUACGCGCUCCGUUAAGACUGGGCGUUUCGGGGAACGAAAUAAAGUAGUGGAAGCUGAUGAAUUCACGCUGGCGAGAAAAGUUGCUAAGGAGGAACGUGGCGCCCGUACCGCAAACCGACACAGGUAGACGAUGAGAGAAUCAUAAGAUGAUCGGGAUAACUCUUGUUAAGGAACUCGGCAAAAUGACCCCGUAACUUCGGGAGAAGGGGUGCCACGAAAGUGGCCGCAGUGAAAAGUCCCAAGCAACUGUUUACCAAAAACACAGGUCUCUGCUAAAACGAAAGUUGAAGUAUAGGGGCUGACGCCUGCCCAGUGCUGGAAGGUCAAGGGGAGCCGUUAGCGCAAGCGAAGCGGUGAACUUAAGCCCCAGUGAACGGCGGCCGUAACUAUAACGGUCCUAAGGUAGCGAA